rnacentral:lncRNA from 1 species
AUGUCUGUGCUUCUGCAGUGGAUGGUGGUGCAGAACUGCUCCAGUUCCCUGAUCAAGAGGAAUAAGCAGACCUACAGCACCAAGCCCAGUAACCUGAAGCCCCACGUUCCCUCUGCUACCAUGCCAACUCACCACAAGACUGUGGAUGUGAAGCCAACAGCCGAUGGAACAGUGUGGUGGUGGUCAUGAAACAGAGAUCAGGCCAGCAAAAGCCAGCCACCUCCUACACGCACGCAGACCACCAUCAACAAGAACAACUGGGCCACUUUCAGCAGCAUCAGGCACAUGAUCCUCAAGAACAAAGACUGCCCUGACCUGCACGUGGCUGCCAUCCACAGGGCUAAUGCCAUCCUGCAUAGCCAGAGCCUGUGAUGGUGAAGAGGAAGUGAACCUACCCCAACAAGAGUGCGUGA